rnacentral:rRNA from 1 species
CCUACGGGAGGCAGCAGUGAGGAAUAUUGCUCAAUGGGCGCAAGCCUGAACCAGCCAAGUCGCGUGAAGGAUGACUGCCCUACGGGUUGUAAACUUCUUUUAUAAAGGAAUAAAGUGAGGAACGUGUGCCUUUUUGUAUGUACUUUAUUAAUAAGGAUCGGCUAACUUCGGUCCAGCAGCCGCGGUAAUACGGAGGGGGCAAGCGUUAUCCGGAUUUACGGGGUGUAAAGGGCGCGUAGGCGGGAAAGCAAGUCAGGUGUGAAAGCCAUGGGCUCAACCUGUGGACUGCAGUUGAAACUGGGUUACUUGAGUAAGGGAGAGGCAGGCGGAAUUCGUGGUGUAGCGGUGAAAUGCGUAGAUAUCAGGAGGAACACCAGUGGCGAAGGCGGUCUGCUGGACAUCAACUGACGCUGAGGCGCGAAAGCGUGGGGAGCAAACAGGAGUAGAUACCCUGGUAGUC